UUGGACAGUAAAAACAAGUAUCCAAAGCUUUUGUAAAAACCCCUUUGAUAUCAAAAGUAUCAAUGCUGGCAACAGCAUUAAACUCCUGAACUCUGUACUAAACAUCCACAUGCUGUCAGCAGACCGUUUGCAAUGUUCCCUGGAAAACUUUUGCUUUCUACAAAAUCAAGGGAUCAAACAACAUAGCUCUGAGCGUCAUUCCAUUAUUGAACAGAAUAAUGUUGAUUACGCAGAUCUUGCAGACUCAGGAUUUUUAUAAAUACCAACACCAGGCCAUACUGGUUACCUCUCAAGCAACCGAAAGCAAUAAAUCAAUAAAAUGAAGUUUAUUAUACUGUUCCAAAUAAUUCAGCAGUUACUGGCACAGAGCCCGAGAAGCCAGUCCUCCUUGAUAUGAAAAGCUCUUUACGCUACAGUGGUUUACAGAGAAAGUUCUGGCCCAGCUGAAGAGGUAGUAUCUUGGCUCUCAAAUGGAGCUGACUAGUCCCAAAGCAGCUGUUGGUUUGUGUCCUGCUUCAUGCAAGGUUUCCGACCAAAUCAAAACCAUCCAUUGACACUAACGAGCCAAACUGCUUUAUUUUAAAGCAACAUAAAAACAGCUUCUAAUGCUGAAUUCUAACACACAGAGAGAUUUGAAAUCUAAUCCUGAGAAUUAAGUUUUAUCUUCGAGAUACCCAUUUUCAAAUCAGGCAAAUGAUUCUCAGCUGAAAAGCAGCUGAACAGGGAGAGUAAUUUACAGCAACUUCUGUUUUCUGUGCUAGUAGCCAGAGGGAAGCUGGGACAGGGAGCACGGGAGGCUCUCUGCUCCAACACUGCAAUCCCAAAUCAGUCAGAAUAGCUCAGGUCGAGGCGAUCAGUGCACAACAGAAGUUACUAGUGAGCUUAACUGUGAAAGAAGAAUGCCUGCACGUGGACUUCAUUCAAAUCAGCACAAGUGUCCCACCUACCUCUUCACAUCAUCUCUGCGUCGGAAAUACCUCCUCUGCUCCUCACUGGAGGCCACGUCUGCACCAACCCAGGAGCUUCAUUACAUCAGCAGGAUGCCAGAUGCUGAUACGAGAAUGUGAUGCUCGUACACAUCCUGGGUCCUCCAGGAACAGGCAGGGAAAAGAAAACAGGCCAACAUUUUCAAUAAUCCACGGAAUCUCCUUUCUCUUGGAGAGGAGAGUGGUGAUCUGAGGAGGUGCAGCACACAACUCCAGUUCAGAAAGGAGACAGAGAGGACAAAGACAUUUUUUCCUCCCUGGGCUUCCCGUAGCCCCAUAAUACAGGAGUAGUUUAAGCCUACUAAGUCCUGAGAUUACAGAAGUGCCAUCAGGUAUAAAACCUCUGAGUUACAUCAGCUGUUUGAUCCUAGUAUUUGAUGCAACCAAUUGUGCCUUUUUUUAAGCACAGUUGAAAUAAGAACCAAGGAUGAUCCCUUUAUCCUUUUUUUUUCUUAACAGAAACCUACUUUUUUUUUUUUUUAAUAAAACAGUGCUUGUUAUUCACUAAAGCUUUAGCAAAUACUGCUGUAAAUCUUAAAACCUUAUGCAGAAAAAAUACAUAUUUCAAGCAGCAUGAAGGCGUAACCAGCUUAUGUGCUCAUAUUUGAAAAGCAAACUUACAUUUUACUUCACAAGGUUUACAAUUCAAACUGAAGUGAGAAAACAAAGAUUUUUUAGGGAACAGAAAAGCAAUGCAGAAAGUUGGAUCCCACUGCUCUGGGAACAAAAGGAAACACAAACCGGUCCCUGACAAACAUGAAGAUUAUUACAAAUAAAAUACAUGGCCCAGCUGUUUAAAGUGACACCCUCUCCCCUUGUUAGCAUCCAAACGAAACCACACGAACAGCUGAAAGCUGAGAUAUUUCAACUACAUAUUCAGGAGGAAGAGCAAAAGGGAAAAGAGAAAAAGCAGAGCAAGAACAAAACUAAGGGCAGGCACGAUCUCAAUGUUAAUUACCAGAAAAGGAAAUAAGCAUUAAGCAGGAAGGGUACAUCAUACUGCCACAGCCUGGACACGCUCAUCACAGCCCAACUGUUUGACAGGCCUUUAUUUUAAUGAAAAAAGCCACUCUACCAUGGAGAUGCUUUAAUUGAUGGCUUCAGAACAACUGCUCUAUAACAAAACAGAAGCUGACAGAAUUGGAAAAAUAUCAAUAAAAUCAAACUAUUUUCAAGUAGCAUGGAUCAAUUUCGAAACUUUGUACCAAAAGAGUCACGGAAAUGAAAAUGUGACUCUGAGUUAAUUAAUUCUGGCUUAAUAAACAAGAUCAACAGUA
ensembl:lncRNA